rnacentral:lncRNA from 1 species
AUAAAAAAUAUGAGGAAAAAGUUUAAUGAUAUAUGCAUGAGGGUAACAACUUGGUCAUACUAGUAAAACUAUUAUGUUUUUAACAGGCAUAUAGACGCGCGUGUUCGAAUAUGUUCCAUAUUUGAGAGAUAUAUAUCUUCUGACUACUAGCGUAGUUGGUACAACUAUAUAUUUUUAACUAGCACAGAAACUUGUCCGAAUAUGUUCCACAUUUGAGAAAUAUAUAUCUCCUGACUACUAGUGUAGCUGAUCCAACUAUAUAUUUUUAACAAGUAUAGAAACUUGUUCAAAUAUAUCA